rnacentral:rRNA from 1 species
UGACCUCGGAUCAGGUAGGGAUACCCGCUGAACUUAGCAAUAUCAAUAAGCA